AACCUCAGAGCAGUGCUUCUCAAAUGUUAACGUGCAUACGAUGAAUCACGUGGGCAUCUUGUUAAAAUGCAGAGUUUUGAGUCGAGGGUCUGGGGAGGGCUGAGAUUGUGCACUUCUAAGGAGAUGCCAGGUGGUGCUAAUUCUGCUGCACUGGACACCACACUUAGAGUGGCGAGGUCACUAAAUAAUAGGAGCAAAAGGAUCGUGAGAACACCGACAUCAGUGAGAAGGAGGCUGGCUGCAGAGACCAUGGGUCUUGCUCCAUUGCCCAGGUUGGAGAGCAGUGGUGUGAUCUCAACUCAUUGCAACCUUCACCUCCCAGGUUCAGGCAAUUCUCCUGCCUCAGCCUCCUGAGUGGCUGGGAUUACAGGCACAUGCCACCACGCCCAGAAUGGAGCUACCACAUGGUCAGGAGGAAGAGACUCACAAAGAAAGAUGAAGGUUGCAGAGAG
rnacentral:lncRNA from 1 species